UACGUAGGGUGCGAGCGUUGUCCGGAAUUAUUGGGCGUAAAGAGCUCGUAGGCGGUGUGUCACGUCGGCCGUGAAAACCUGCAGCUUAACUGUGGGCGUGCGGUCGAUACGGGCAUCACUGGAGUUCGGCAGGGGAGACUGGAAUUCCUGGUGUAGCGGUGAAAUGCGCAGAUAUCAGGAGGAACACCGGUGGCGAAGGCGGGUCUCUGGGCCGAUACUGACGCUGGAGGAGCG
rnacentral:rRNA from 1 species